UCUGACGCAAACAUAAUUACUUUUCGAAAAAAGUUUUUGUUUAUGUUUUUAAUAUCUAUUAUUCAUUUACUUUAAAAUGCUUCAUUUCAGUGUUAGUUUUUUUUAAUUCAAUUUUCGUAAUUAUCUUAUUGCUCAAAACAUUACUGUCAUUUUUACUACUUCCCUGUGCGCUGCUAUAUACACACAUACAGGCACCCCGCGUGAUGGCCACCACAGUUUAAAGGAUUUCGGGAUACGGUCAAACGCUUUAGUUUGACCGUGGUAGUAGCAGACCGUACAGCCAACACACUCCUUGCCGUUAUCCAAGAUUAUAUCUUACCCGGAACUACAAUCAUUUGAGACCUUUGGCGUGCAUAUGAUACAAUAAAUCAACUUGGUUGUGAACAUUUAAGGAUCAAUCAUUCUGUUAAUUUUGUUGAUCCUGUGACAUUGGCUACAAUUAAUCACAUUGAAUGUUUGUGUAAGCAUGCAAAAAAAAAACAAGAAAAAAUGGAACAGCUCAAUGCUUAUUGGAUCCACACCUCAUUGAAUUUAUGUGACGCUAUGAAUUCAAAGAUGAAGCAAUUUACACAUUACUGUUUUGAGUUGUUUUAUGAAAAGAUUAAAAAUGUGCAUCAAAUUGUCUUUUCAUAACAUACAAUAAUAUUUAUUCGAGUCAUUUCACAUCUCCACAUAAUAAAAAAGUUGUACUAUUUUAGACGCCUCCCCAAUUAAAUGCAAAUAAAUAUUAAUGUGAAUCGUGA